AAUGGGCGAAAGCCUGAUCCAGCCAUGCCGCGUGUGUGAAGAAGGUCUUCGGAUUGUAAAGCACUUUAAGUUGGGAGGAAGGGCAGUAAGUUAAUACCUUGCUGUUUUGACGUUACCGACAGAAUAAGCACCGGCUAACUCUGUGCCAGCAGCCGCGGUAAUACAGAGGGUGCAAGCGUUAAUCGGAAUUACUGGGCGUAAAGCGCGCGUAGGUGGUUUGUUAAGUUGGAUGUGAAAGCCCCGGGCUCAACCUGGGAACUGCAUCCAAAACUGGCAAGCUAGAGUACGGUAGAGGGUGGUGGAAUUUCCUGUGUAGCGGUGAAAUGCGUAGAUAUAGGAAGGAACACCAGUGGCGAAGGCGACCACCUGGACUGAAGGUGAGCUGGGGAGCAAACAGGAUU
rnacentral:rRNA from 1 species